CCUACGGGUGGCAGCAGUGAGGAAUAUUUGUCAAUGGACGCAAGUCUGAACCAGCCAUGCCGCGUGCAGGAUGACGGCUCUAUGAGUUGUAACUGCUUUUGUACGAGGGUAAACCCCGAUACGUGUUUCGGGUUGAAAGUAUCGUACGAAUCAGGAUCGGCUAACUCCGUGCCAGCAGCCGCGGUAAUACGGAGGAUCCGAGCGUUAUCCGGAUGUAUUGGGUGUAAUGGGUGCGUAGGCGGUUUGAUAAGUUAGAUGUGAAAUGUCCGGGCUCAACCCCGAAACUGCCUCUAAUACUGUGGGACUAGAGAAUUGGUGCGGGAGGCGGAAUGUAUGGUGUAGCGGUGAAAUGCUUAGAGAUCAUACAGAACACCGAUUGCGAAGGCAGCUUACCAAACUAUAUCUGACGUUGAGGCACGAAAGCGUGGGUAGCAAACAGGAUUAGAUACCCUUGUAGUC
rnacentral:rRNA from 1 species